rnacentral:rRNA from 1 species
CCAAUAGCGUAUAUUAAAGUUGUUGCAGUUAAAAAGCUCGUAGUUGCAUUUCGGGGUUAGUAGGUUGGUCAUGCCUCUGGUAUGUACUGGUCUCACUGAUUCCUCCUUCCUGAUGAACUUUAAUGCCAUUUCUUUGGUGUUUUGGGGAAUUUGGACUGUUACUUUGAAAAAAUUAGAGUGUUUAACGCAAGCUAACGCUUGAAUACAUUAGCAUGGAAUAAUGAAAUAGGACGUUCGAUCCUAUUUUGUUGGUUUCUAGGAUUGACGUAAUGAUUAAUAGGGAUAGUUGGGGGAAUUAGUAUUCAAUGGUCAGAGGUGAAAUUCUUGGAUUUAUUGAAGACUAACUACUGCGAAAGCAUUUGCCAAGGAUGUUGUCAUUAAUCAAGAACGAAAGUUAGGGGAUCGAAGACGAUCAGAUACCGUCGUAGUCUUAACCAUAAACUAUGCCGACUAGGGAUCGGACGAAGUUAAUUUUAUAAUGACGCGUUCGGCACCUUACG